CAUUUUAUGUGGUAUUAAUGAACUGCAAAGGAAUAUGAUUUAUCUUAUUUUAUAUUUUUGCACCUUUGGAAUUCGUUUUCUGAUAGUGGAAUAAGUUUGUGUUUACUUUGAGAAAAUUAGAGUGUUCAAAGCAGUCUUACGGCUUAAUAUUAAAGCAUGGAAUGAUAAAUAAUGACAUCGGUUAAUUUUUGUUGGUUUGAGAGGCUGAUGUAAUGAUUUAUAGAGUUAGUCGGAGGUAUUAGUAUUUUGUCGUUAGAAGUGAAAUUCCGGGAUCGACAAAAGACUAACAACUGCGAAAGUAUUUGCCUAGAAUUUGCUCCUUGAUCAAGAACGUAAGUUGGGGGAUCGAAGACGAUCAGAUACCGUCGUAGUCUCAACUUUAAACUAUAUCAGCUAGGGGUUGGCAAAUGUUUAUAUGACUUUGUUAGAACCUUAUGAGAAAUCAAAGCGUUUGGGUUCCGGGGGGAGUAUGGUCGCAAGGCUGAAACUUAAAGGAAUUGACGGAAGGGCACCACAAGAUGUGGAUCCUGUGGCUUAAUUUGACUCAACACUGGAAAACUCACCAGGUCCAGACAUAGGUAGGAUUGACAGAUUGAUAGCUUUUUCUUGAUUCUAUGGGUGGUGGUGCAUGGUCGUUCUUAGUUGGUGGAGUGAUUUGUCUGGUUAAUUCCGUUAACGAACGAGACUAUCACUUACUAAAUAGUACAUUUUUUUAAAUAGAAUAUUUGCUUCUUAGAGGGACUGG
rnacentral:rRNA from 1 species